GCCAGCAUGGCAUAGUGGUUUGAGUGUUGGACUAUGACUCUGGAGACCAGAGUUCAAAUCCCCGCUGAGCCA
rnacentral:tRNA from 1 species